rnacentral:rRNA from 1 species
CAGUCGCCGCGGGAAUACAGAGGGUGCGAGCGUUAAUCGGAAUUACUGGGCGUAAAGGGCGCGUAGGCGGUUAGGAAGGUGUGAUGUGAAAGCCCUGGGCUUAACCUAGGAAGUGCAUCGCAAACCAACUAGCUGGAGUAUAAGAGAGGGUGGCGGAAUUUCCGGUGUAGCGGUGAAAUGCGUAGAGAUCGGAAGGAACGUCAAUGGCGAAGGCAGCCACCUGGCUUAAUACUGACGCUGAGGCGCGAAAGCGUGGGGAGCGAACAGGAUUAGAUACCCGCGUAGUCCCUGUCUCUUAUAC